GUGAUGUCACUUCUGGCUUACCAUUUGACCUCAGAUUGCUUUGCAAAGGAAAUAUGGUUUGAAAGAAUGGCCUGGAAUAGAAACUUCACCACAGUAUUAUGGGAGACCUGACAAAAAUCAAAGGCUGGAACUUCCCAGGCAACUGAAGUUCUCUUUUGAACAGCUAUGCUCAUCUUUGCAAGAAACUUCACCCUUCUGACCAGUAAGGGCAUUUGACACACAGACUCUGGAAGGAAAUUUAAAGAGUGAUGCAUGUGCCCCCAAAGGAGCUGGACAGGAGGACACUGAGCACAAGAACAAUGGUGACAUUAGCCAGGCACUUAAGGUCCAUCAGACUUCUGCAGAUCUCUUCACUUUCUAUGCAAUAAAGUCAUGCUACAUGAGUGUUUAUGUUCACAUAGGAGUGUUUUUUUUAAGAAUUUCUGUAUUUCAUAACAGCAGCAUGCACAGGGGCUCCGGGACAAGUAACAGGUGAUGGAACAAUCAAUAUAAUUACUGGAUCUUUUACUUUUACAGACGUUGUUCAGGAAGUAGCUUUCGGCAUAGGAAAACAUUUUUGAUCUCCCAUAUCCAAGGCCUGCUGGUAUUAACCCCACUGCAGUUCACAGAGUAGGUAUGUCUCCUGUGGAUUCUCACAGGAGGCAAAAUGACACUUUAAUGCCUUUUUAGAAAUAUACAUGCUGAAACAGAAGAGAAAUUUCGAGGAUCCAGAGGUUACAAUUUUGUUUUCAGUAGUUUUCCAGUAUGCAAAAACGGGGGAGGGUGGAGGAAACAAG